UACGGAGGGUGCGAGCGUUAUCCGGAAUUACUGGGCGUAAAGGGCAUGCAGGCGGGGUUUUAAGUCAGCUGUGAAAUCCCCGGGCUGAACCUGGGAAUGGCGUUUGAAACUGCGAAGCUAGAGUACAGUAGGGGGGGAGGGAAUUCCACGUGUAGCGGUGAAAUGCGUAGAGAUGGGGAAGAACACCAAUGGCGAAGGCAGCCCCUUGGG
rnacentral:rRNA from 1 species